AUCCUUUUCCAGUUCAUAAACAUUAUGAUUGGGUGUUCACAUGUGUGUGUGACAUGUGCCUCUCUUAAAUCUUGUUAUGUACUGGACACAUUAACCAUCUGAUG